rnacentral:RNase_P_RNA from 1 species
ACAGUCAGCCGGUCUGUCGCUUCGUGUAAUAGCGAAGAGGAAAGUCCGGGCAACACAGGACACCAUAUUUCCUAACGGGAAGCCAUUCGUGAGAGUGGAGAAGUGUAGAAGAAAAUAACCGCUCCUUGUGAGUAAGGGUGAGAAGGCGGGGUAAGAGCCCACCGCUGUUUUGGCAACAAGGCAGGCUGUACACCUUAUGGGUUGCAAGAUCAAGUAAACCGAUGUUUGAGGGCUGUCCGUCCGAGUCGGAGGGUAGAUUGCUAGAGCUGAUUGGCGACAAUCAUCGUAGAUAAAUGACAGACAUUUCGCUUGCGAAAUACAGAACCCGGCUUAUAGGCUGACUGUUUAU